UGGGGAAUAUUACACAAUGGGCGCAAGCCUGAUGCAGCCAUGCCGCGUGUAUGAAGAAGGCCUUCGGGUUGUAAAGUACUUUCAGCGGGGAGGAAGGGAGUAAAGUUAAUACCUUUGCUCAUUGACGUUACCCGCAGAAGAAGCACCGGCUAACUCCGUGCCAGCAGCCGCGGUAAUACGGAGGGUGCAAGCGUUAAUCGGAAUUACUGGGCGUAAAGCGCACGCAGGCGGUUUGUUAAGUCAGAUGUGAAAUCCCCGGGCUCAACCUGGGAACUGCAUCUGAUACUGGCAAGCUUGAGUCUCGUAGAGGGGGGUAGAAUUCCAGGUGUAGCGGUGAAAUGCGUAGAGAUCUGGAGGAAUACCGGUGGCGAAGGCGGCCCCCUGGACGAAGACUGACGCUCAGGUGCGAAAGCGUGGGGAGCAAACAGG
rnacentral:rRNA from 1 species